ACCCGCUGAAUUUAAGCAUAUAAGUAAGCGGAGGAAGAGAAACUAAAAAGGACCCUUCCAGUAAUGGCGAAUGAACAAGGGCCCGCUCAUUUUGAAAAUUAGAACCCAUGGUUCUGAAUUGUAAUUUGAAAAAUGCAAUGCCAACAGCAGCGCAGGUGUAAGCUUGGUGGAAAAGAGCAUCGGCGAGGGUGAGAGCCCCGUGCGUCAUCUGUGGCCAGCUGUAUACGGCGUUCAUGCAAAGAGUCACGCUCCUUGGGAUUGGAGCGCAAAGCAGGUGGUAGCCUUCAUCUGAAGCUGAAUAUUAGCUUGAGGCCGGUAGCAAACAAGUACCAUGAGGGAAAGGUGAAAAGGACUUUGAAAAGAGAGUUAAACAGUUUUUGAGAUUGCUGAAGAGAAAGCGAGGGAAAUCUGUUCGACUAGGUGAGAUUGCUGUGCGCGCCCGUCUUGAAACACGGACCAAGGAGUCUAACACAUGUGCAAGCCCACGGGUGAAAAAAUCUGUGUGUGCAAUGAAAGUGAUUGCUGGACAUUAUUUGCCCCAGCAGCCAACCAGUUGCUUGAGAGAGGUUUGAGCAUGAGCGUGUCUGUUAGGGCCCGAAAGAUGGUGAACUAUGCUUGUGAAGGGUAAACUCAGGGGAAACUCUGAUGGAGGCUCACAGCGAUACUGACGUGCAAAUCGUUCGUCGUAUAUGGGUAUAGGGGCGAAAGACUAAUCGAACCAUCUAGUAGCUGGUUCCC
rnacentral:rRNA from 1 species